UGUUGUUUGUUUUGUUUAGUGUUUAAGAUUAUAU
rnacentral:sRNA from 1 species